AGGCAGUCCUUGUGGUACGGGGCUGCAGCCAAUAGAUGGUGCUGUCGGAAAUGAGCUGAGAAACGAAGCGCUACAGUUACUGCCGCCUUUGUGUGGGUUUUACCCAAGGACUGAAAUGAGUCUUGCUAAAUAGAUUGUUUGGGCAGAACCUCUUGUCUGUUAAAGAGUGCUGCUGAGAUUACCUAAUGUUUCACGUUUCAUCAUGAUUCAGCAGAAUGAACCAGUCUGAAUUGGAAAGGGAGAGGUUCCCAGAGCUCAGCAAACAUAUUUCCAAUUCCAGAGAUCCUCAAUCAGUACUCCCCCAUUUUAAACUUCAUAAUCAGACAACACACAGUGAGUCAUUGCCUAAUGGCAGCUGAACCAAAACACCUGUUAGUGAAUACGUAUGGAAUGUGAAGAUGAUUGUAAAGAACAAGAUUAUAAUUAAAGAUGCACUAAUUCUAACAGAAACAAGAGAAAUGGAGCAGAUGCUAUACAUUUUUGUGGGUAGUUAUGUUUUUGUGUAAUGAUAGUGGAGAUUAAUAUCUGUAAACAGAAUUACUAUGUAAUUUAGACUUUAAAGGUCCUCUCCUGACCUCCAGACCAACACCCUUUCUCAAAGCAGGGCUAGCUAGCCACGAAGAUAGAUCAUGCUGGUGAAGACAACAUCAGCGUUUGGUUACUGCAAAAUUACAUGGACAAAAGGUACCAUCACCCCCCAGUAGUUCUCAUUCUCAGAAGACGGUCAUGGUCAAAGAUGCCAAAGACCCUGCCUGUGACACCAGCCAUUUGCCCAGGCUUUGAUCUGCAGGAUUCAUCCUCCUCUGCUGCUGAAGCCACCUUCUUGACUGUGUGCUGUCAAGCUAGGUGGAUAUUGAAUAUGAUGAAGUCUAAUCCAGAUAUCCAAUCAUCUUCUUUUUCACCAUGCUGGAAUGAAACCAAACAGGAGAAGGCUUUCUUGCAUAAUAUCUUUCUAUGAUAGGAAUUACUACGAACUGUUGCAAAACCGAGUUGCUUCAGAUAAAGGGUGGACUGACUUGUUCUGUCACAUAUGUCAGGACUGCUAACAUAAACAUGAUCAUCAUUUGAAGUUUCCUAAAUGACUGGGUAAUUCUAAUGAGUUUCUAUCUUGACUAAUGGUCUUUAGAAUGCCUUUCCUAAAAAACAAAAAGGUCCAAAUCUUCUGAAUGAGCUUAGAAACAAGGACUAGAAGUACCACCCCUCCAUAAAUCUGUUUGGACUGAUUUCACAUGUUGUUCUGAUAAUGUCAUGUCUAACAUUCAGAUGUAAUUUUGACUAAACUCUAAACAAGAAUCAACAAAAUAUCCUUCAUCCACUUUUGUGUAUUAGUAUAUUAUAAUUUAUGUUAGCACUGAAGCAUAAAUGCUGGAUACCUUAAAACUGAUGUUGUAUUUGUCACUCCAGAGAGAUGGUUAACCCUGCAAAUUUUUUAGCAUGUGAACAUACUCUGUGAUUCUAAUGUUGAUCCUAAACCUGCUGAGACAAUCUGAAAGUAUUUUAUAAGAUGUCUGCCUUAUAUUCCUCUUUUUCUCUGCUCUGUGAGAACCUGUAUGUUCUAAGUCCAUACACAUCUUUUUGUUGUGGAAUGAAGAAGCUCAAGCCUGCUGAAGUCUGCUCAACCAUUUGGUGAGCUGAGAACUGAGGGUCAACAAUUGCUGCCCAUCAUCAUAAGGUGGACACUACUAACUCCACAGGUGAGGAUAGGGCCACUCAAGGGUGGCUGGUUCAUCAUAACAUACCCAUCUGCAUCGUAACAUACCAUCUUAGUGGGUGUAGUGGCAGAGCGGAGAAACUGGGGCUGCAAGUGGUCCAGACUUCUUUCUCCCUAGUGCUGCUAGCUGAAAUGGCCCACCAGCACCAGUGUAUUUGCCUUCACUCAGGAAGAAGGGCUUCUGCUUUGUUCCAAGGUUUUCACUAAGGACAGCACAUUACCUAUCAUCAGGUCUCCCUCCUUGGAGAUAUUUAAUGCCCAGCUGGACAUGGUCCUGAACAACCUGCUCUAGCUGACCCUGCUUGAGUGGGCGGCUGGAUGAGGCAGCAUCCAGAGGUCCCUUCCCACCUCAACCAUUCCAUGAUUCUGCUUAUAGAAAUUGCUUCACUAAAACUGACAGUAUUUCUUGAUGUGCUUCCUGAGGGCACAACCGCCCACCUUUCUGGUUCUCCCCAAUUUUGUCAUGGCACAUUACAUAGUACUCAUCAACUAUUUUAAUUUGGGGAAAAAUCACUUUCUUCAUAGAUUAGUUAACCACUAGUCAAGUAAAUUAUACACAACUUAGAGGAAUAAAUGAACUUACUCCCAAAACAAGUGUAUAUAUUGCUUAGGAUUAAACAGUAGUGUAAGAAGGGGUGUACUGCUCAGUUAAACUCUUUCUGUAUUUUUUCUUCCUCUGCCUUGUUCAUGUCUUUGUCUUCCUACCAUAAAAAAAAUCAGCAUUAAAUUAUG